rnacentral:rRNA from 1 species
CCUACGGGAGGCAGCAGUGAGGAAUAUUGGUCAAUGGCCGAGAGGCUGAACCAGCCAAGUCGCGUGAGUGAAGACGGCCCUACGGGUUGUAAACCUCUUUUGUCGUGGAGCAACGCGAACCACGUGUGGUUCAUUGAGAGUACCCGAAGAAAAAGCAUCGGCUAACUCCGUGCCAGCAGCCGCGCUAAUACGGAGGCUGCGAGCGUUAUCCGGAUGUAGUGGGUUGAAAGUGUGCGCAGGCGGAGGUAGAAGUCAGCGGUCAAAUUGCGGGGCUCAACCCCGUACUGCCGUUGAAACUGCAUCCCUUGAGUGCGCGAGAAGUAUGCGGAAUGCGUGGUGUAGCGGUGAAAUGCAUAGAUAUCACGCAGAACUCCGAUUGCGAAGGCAGCAUACCGGCGCGCAACUGACGCUCAUGCACGAAAGCGUGGGUAUCGAACAGGAUUAGAUACCCGGGUAGUC